rnacentral:rRNA from 1 species
UACGAAGGGGCUAGCGUUGCUCGGAAUCACUGGGCGUAAGGGUGCGUAGGCGGGUCUUUAAGUCAGGGGUGAAAUCCUGGAGCUCAACUCCAGAACUGCCUUUGAUACUGAAGAUCUUGAGUUCGGGAGAGGUGAGUGGAACUGCGAGUGUAGAGGUGAAAUUCGUAGAUAUCGUAAGGAAGACCAGUGGCGAAGGCGAAUCUCUGGACAGUUACGUGACACUG